UCGCUGGAGGACUAGUGCUUAUGCCAAAGCGCUCUCACCGCUAAAGCCCAGGUUCGAUCCCCAGCUACUGGG
rnacentral:tRNA from 1 species